AUGCUUAACACAUGCAAGUCGAACGGAAACGAUGGAAGCUUGCUUCCAGGCGUCGAGUGGCGGACGGGUGAGUAAUGCUUGGGAAUCUGCCUAAUAGUGGGGGAAAACUCGGGGAAACUCGGGCUAAUACCGCAUAAUCUCUUCGGAGGAAAGGGGGCCUCUACAUGUAAGCUCUCGCUAAUAGAUGAGCCCAAGUCAGAUUAGCUUGUUGGUGAGGUAAAAGCUCACCAAGGCUACGAUCUGUAGCUGGUCUGAGAGGACGAUCAGCCACACUGGGACUGAGACACGGCCCAGACUCCUACGGGAGGCAGCAGUGGGGAAUAUUGCACAAUGGGCGCAAGCCUGAUGCAGCAAUGCCGCGUGUGUGAAGAAGGCCUUAGGGUUGUAAAGCACUUUCAAUAGAGAAGAAAAGCUUAGAGUUAAUAACUCUAAGCAUUGACGUAACCUAUAGAAGAAGCACCGGCUAAAUCCGUGCCAGCAGCCGCGGUAAUACGGAUGGUGCGAGCGUUAAUCGGAAUUACUGGGCGUAAAGCGCGCGUAGGCUGUUUUAUAAGUCGGAUGUGAAAUCCCCGGGCUCAACCUGGGAACUGCAUCCGAAACUAUUUAACUAGAGUAUGGGAGAGGUAAGUAGAAUUUCCGGUGUAGCGGUGAAGUGCGUAGAUAUCUGAAGGAACACCAGUGG
rnacentral:rRNA from 1 species